CUGGUUACGGUUUAGUUCGCUUC
rnacentral:siRNA from 1 species